rnacentral:lncRNA from 1 species
GGCUCAUCGAGCCGGCUCCCGCUGCCUGCUCUCGGCGGCGGCGGCGGCGGCAGGGGCUGAGGGCACAGCCAGCGGGCGGCGCGCCGCGGACUCCAAGACAGCCCGCGGAAAGAAUCCUGCCUAUUACCAUGAAGUGACCGUCACCCAUCCUUUUCACCUAGUAGAACUGAUCUCAGGACCUACAGAGGAGAGGUGAAAUAGAGUAUUGCAGAGAUGAUGUGAUAUCCCCAGGGAGCCAUACCUGGUGAGUAUAAAAAGAAGAAAUAAAUAAAUUUGAUAAGUCAACAUGAUAAAUAUCCUGGGUA